UUGCUUUGGCAGCACAUAUACUAACAUUGGAACAAUACAGAAGAUUAGCAUGGCCCCUGUGCAAUGAUGAUACGCAAAUUUGCGAAGUGUUCUGCAUUUUA
rnacentral:snRNA from 1 species